ACGUAGGGUGCGAGCGUUAAUCGGAAUUACUGGGCGUAAAGCGUGCGCAGGCGGUGAUGUAAGACAGAUGUGAAAUCCCCGGGCUCAACCUGGGAACUGCAUUUGUGACUGCACGACUGGAGUGCGGCAGAGGGGGAUGGAAUCCCGCGUGUAGCAGUGAAAUGCGUAGAUAUGCGGAGGAACACCGAUGGCGAAGGCAAUCCCCUGGGUCGACACUGACGCUCAUGCACGAAAGCGUGGGGAGCAAACAG
rnacentral:rRNA from 1 species